rnacentral:rRNA from 1 species
UGGUGGAGUGAUUUGUCUGCUCAAUUGCGAUAACGAACGAGACUCUGUCCUGCUCAAUUAGUGUCGUCUUCUUUUUUGAGACGAUUAUUCUUCUUAGAGGGACUGGUGGCGCUUAGCCACACGAGAUAGAGCCAUAACA